rnacentral:snRNA from 1 species
GUACUGGAUUUGGCAGCACAUAUACUAAAAUUGGAACGAUAUAGACAAGAUUAGCAUGACCCCUGCGCAAGGAUGACACGCAAAUUCGUGAAGUGGGGAUUU